rnacentral:rRNA from 1 species
CAAUGGGCGCAAGCCUGACCCAGCAACGCCGCGUGAAGGAAGAAGGCUUUCGGGUUGUAAACUUCUUUUCUCAGGGACGAAGAAAGUGACGGUACCUGAUUAAGAAGCCCCGGCUAACUACGUGCCAGCAGCCGCGGUAAUACGUAGGGGGCAAGCGUUAUCCGGAUUUACUGGGUGUAAAGGGAGCGUAGACGGUGAUGCAAGUCAGAAGUGAAAGCCCGGGGCUCAACUCCGGGACUGCUUUUGAAACUGUGUGACUGGAGUGCAGGAGAGGUAAGCGGAAUUCCUGGUGUAGCGGUGAAAUGCGUAGAUAUCAGGAGGAACACCAGUGGCGAAGGCGGCUUACUGGACUGUAACUGACGUUGAGGCUCGAAAGCGUGGGGAGCAAACAG